rnacentral:rRNA from 1 species
UAUUGGACAAUGGGCGAAAGCCUGAUCCAGCAAUACCGCGUGUGUGAAGAAGGCCUUAGGGUUGUAAAGCACUUUCAAUUGGGAGGAAAACCUGCCGGUCAAUACCCGGUAGCUUGACAUUACCUUUAGAAGAAGCUCCGGCUAACUCCGUGCCAGCAGCCGCGGUAAUACGGAGGGUGCGAGCGUUAAUCGGAAUUACUGGGCGUAAAGCGUGCGUAGGCGGUUCGUUAAGUCAGAUGUGAAAGCCCUGGGCUCAACCUGGGAACUGCAUUUGAAACUGGCGGACUAGAGUUUAGUAGAGGGGAGUGGAAUUUCAGGUGUAGCGGUGAAAUGCGUAGAUAUCUGAAGGAACACCAGUGGCGAAGGCGACUCCCUGGACUAGAACUGACGCUGAGUACGAAA